rnacentral:hammerhead_ribozyme from 1 species
AUCCAGCUGAUGAGUCCCGAACAGGAUGAAAUGCGCAUCUUGAGU